CCUACGGGUGGCAGCAGUGAGGAAUAUUUGUCAAUGGGCGCGAGCCUGAACCAGCCAAGUAGCGUGAAGGAUUACUGCCCUACGGGUUGUAAACUUCUUUUAUAAAGGAAUAAAGUGAUACACUUGUGCCUUUUUGUAUGUACUUUAUGAAUAAGGAUCGGCUAACUCCGUGCCAGAAGCCGCGGUAAUACGGAGGCUCCGAGCGUUGUCCGGAUUUAUUGGGGUUAAAGGGCGCGUGGAUGGGUUGUUAAGUCAUUUGUGAAAGUUUGCGGCUCAACCCGAAAAUUGCAAGUGAUACUGGCAGUCUUGAGUACAGGUGAGGGAGGCGGAAUGCGUGGUGUAGCGGUGAAAUGCGUAGAUAUCACGAAGAACUCCGAUGGCGAAGGCGGGUUACUAGACUUCCACUGACAUUGAGGCACGAAAGUGUGGGGAUCAAACAGGAUUAGAUACCCUUGUAGUC
rnacentral:rRNA from 1 species